rnacentral:rRNA from 1 species
GGGCCCGCACAAGCGGUGGAGCAUGUGGAUUAAUUCGACGCAACGCGAAGAACCUUACCUAGCCUUGACAUCCUUGGAACCUGCCCUAAAAGGCGGGGUGUCCUUCGGGAAAUCAAGAGACAGGUGCUGCAUGGCUGUCGUCAGCUCGUGUCGUGAGAUGUUGGUUAAGUCCCGCAACGAGCGCAACCCUUGCUUUUAGUUGCCAUCAUUUAGUUGGGCACUCUAGAGAGACUGCCGUGUCAAGCCGGAGGAAAGGUGGGGGACGACGUCAAGUCGAUCAUGGCCCUUACGGCUAGGGCUUCACACGUGCUACAAUGGACGGUACAAAGGGUCGCGAAGCCGCGAGGUGGAGCU